CUGGGCGUAAGCGUGCGCAGGCGGUUCGGAAGAAGGAUGUGAAAUCCCAGGGCUCAACCUUGGAACUGCAUUCUUAACUACCGAACUAGAGUAUGUCAGAGGGGGGUAGAAUUCCGCGUGUAGCAGUGAAAUGCGUAGAUAUGCGGAGGAAUACCGAUGGCGAAGGCAGCCCCCUGGGAUAAUACUGACGCUCAUGCACGAAAGCGUGGGUAGCAAACAGGAUUAGAUACCCUGGUAGUCCACGCCCUAAACGAUGUCAACUAGCUGUUGGGCCCUUCGGGGCUUAGUAGCGUAGCUAACGCGUGAAGUUGACCGCCUGGGGAGUACGGUCGCAAGAUUAAAACUCAAAGGAAUUGACGGGGACCCGCACAAGCGGUGGAUGAUGUGGAUUAAUUCGAUGCAACGCGAAAAACCUUACCUACCCUUGACAUGUCUGGAAUCCUUUAGAGAUAGAGGAGUGCUCGCAAGAGAACCGGAACACAGGUGCUGCAUGGCUGUCGUCAGCUCGUGUCGUGAGAUGUUGGGUUAAGUCCCGCAACGAGCGCAACCCUUGUCAUUAGUUGCCAGCAUUCAGUUGGGCACUCUAAUGAGACUGCCGGUGACAAACCGGAGGAAGGUGGGGAUGACGUCAAGUCCUCAUGGCCCUUAUGGGUAGGGCUUCACACGUCAUACAAUGGUCGGGACAGAGGGUUGCCAAACCGCGAGGUGGAGCCAAUCUCAGAAACCCGAUCGUAGUCCGGAUUGCAGGCUGCAACUCGCCUGCAUGAAGUCGGAAUCGCUAGUAAUCGCGGAUCAGCAUGUCGCGGUGAAUACGUUCCCGGGUCUUGUACACACCGCCCGUCACACCAUGGGAGUGGGUUUUACCAGAAGUAGUUAGCCUAACCGCAAGGGGGGCGAUUACCACGGUAGGAUUCAUGACUGGGGUGAAGUCGU
rnacentral:rRNA from 1 species